rnacentral:rRNA from 1 species
UACGAAGGGUGCUAGCGUUGUUCGGAAUCACUGGGCGUAAAGCGCGCGUAGGCGGCCAUUCAAGUCAGGGGUGAAAUCCUUGGGCUUAACCCAAGAACUGCCUUUGAAACUGUAUGGCUGGAGUGUCGGAGGGGAUAGCGGAAUUCCUAAUGUAGUGGUGAAAUACGUAGAUAUUAGGAGGAACACCGGUGGCGAAGGCGGCUAUCUGGACGACAACUGACGCUGAGGCGCGAAAGCGUGGGGAUCAAACAGG